CUGGUACUCCUCGGCCUCCUUCAUGGCAUUGAUGACCAGGCUGGACACCUCCUCCCUCAUCUCUAUGAGCGGGUUGGCCGACCAGUCCUGGAAGGAAAGCACAGGAGUGAGAAAAGGUGUUCUGGAGAAACUGCUUUCAGUCGCAGUCCUUUGCUGUGUGCUUUUGAUUCUUUGGCCAUAUCUCCCUAUCCUCCAUCCCAUCCCCCACUGGAAACAUGAGGGAACCUCACCUUUCCUCCUCCUCACGGCUGCCUCUGUCACUCUUAUCAUUUACGGACUCUACAUCAUCAAUUCAGCUGUUUCUCAGCUGCCUCUGUGACUCUGGGGUGAACGAUGAAGACUUAGAUCACCCGCCUCCCUCCUCUGGCCAGUGUUUGAUAUUUACGGUCGUGCUUUGUCACUCAGGCUGGAGGGCAGUGGCACAAUCUCAGGUCACUGCAGCCUCGACCUCCCAGGCUCAAAAGUGAUCCUCCCACGUCAGCCUCCAGAAUAGCUGGGACCACAGGUGUUGUCCAGCCUGAGCAACAUAGGAAGGCCCUAGGCUCAAGCAAUACUCCUGCUUGGGCUUCCCAAAGUGUUUGGACUACAGGCAUGAGCCAUUGAGCUCGGCUGUGAGAACUGCCAUCUUUUAAAGGUCAAAAAUGGUCAAUUAUUGGAAGUUUCAUAUGGUUUCACCUACUUGUCAAUCAUUUUAUCUUCAACCUUUCCAUUUUGUUUUAGAUAUCUCUUGGAAGUAGCAUAUAACUACAUUUUUAAACAAUCUAUUUUGCUUUUAAAUACUUUAUAUAUACUGUAACUAAUGUUUGCCCUUUGUUAUCACGUUUUAUCCUUUCUGCUUUCUCACCGUUUCCCUUUGUUGUGGUAUUUUGCUUUAAAAACUAUAGCUUAUUUGCUUUUAUAUUCUUUACUGAUUUGGAUAGGAGAAAUCCUGUUUCUAAUUCCACUAGAACUUGCCAUUAAGUUUAUUAAGUCUUUUAAAUGUUUCUCUAAUUUUGGAAAUAAAAAUUGCAGCUGGGCAUGGUGAUUCAUGCCCGUAAUCUCAGAACUUUGGCAGGC
rnacentral:lncRNA from 10 species